rnacentral:rRNA from 1 species
AACGUAGGGGGCGAGCGUUGUCCGGAAUUACUGGGCGUAAAGGGCGCGUAGGCGGUUAUCCAAGUCAGGGGUGAAAACCUUGGGCUCAACUCAGGGCCUGCCCCUGAAACUGGGUAACUUGAGGGCAGGAGAGGGGAGUGGAAUUCCCAGUGUAGCGGUGAAAUGCGUAGAUAUUGGGAGGAACACCAGUGGCGAAGGCGGCUUACUGGACUGUAACUGACGUUGAGGCGCGAAAGUGUGGGGAGCAAACCGGAUUAGAUACCCGUGUAGUCC